CCUACGGGAGGCAGCAGUGGGGAAUAUUGCACAAUGGGGGAAACCCUGAUGCAGCGACGCCGCGUGGGUGAAGAAGGUCUUCGGAUCUUAAAACCCUGUUGUUAGAGAAGCAAGUGCGUGAGAGUAACUGUUCACGUUUCGACGGUAUCUAACCAGAAAGCCACGGCUAACUACGUGCCAGCAGCCGCGGGAAUACGUAGGUGGCAAGCGUUAUCCGGAUUUAUUGGGCGUAAAGGGAACGCAGGCGGUCUUUUAAGUCUGAUGUGAAAGCCGUCGGCUUAACCGGAGUAGUGCAUUGGAAACUGGGAGACUUGAGUGCAGAAGAGGAGAGUGGAACUCCAUGUGUAGCGGUGAAAUGCGUAGAUAUAUGGAAGAACACCAGUGGCGAAAGCGGCUCUCUGGUCUGUAACUGACGCUGAGGUUCGAAAGCGUGGGUAGCAAACAGGAUUAGAUACCCCUGUAGUC
rnacentral:rRNA from 1 species